rnacentral:tRNA from 1 species
GGGCCCGUAGCUCAGCCAGGACAGAGCGCCGGCCUUCUAAGCGGGGCCGGGAGGCCUCGGCCCUACCUCGGCUGCGCGGGGACAGCCGGUGGUCCCGGGUUCAAAUCCCGGCGGGCCCG